rnacentral:rRNA from 1 species
AGGGCAUCACCAGGAGUGGAGCCUGCGGCUUAAUUUGACUCAACACGGGGAAACUCACCCGGCCCGGACACCGGAAGGAUUGACAGAUUGAUAGCUCUUUCUUGAUUCGGUGGAUGGUGGUGCAUGGCCGUUCUUAGUUGGUGGAGCGAUCUGUCUGGUUAAUUCCGAUAACGAACGAGACUCUAGCCUAUUAAAUAGACGUCGGGUUCUCUGCACUCGACGGUCUUCUUAGAGGGACAAGGUGCUUUUAGCACCGCGAAACAGAGCAAUAACAGGUCUGUGAUGCCCUUAGAUGUCCGGGGCCGCACGCGCGCUACACUGAAGGAAGCAGCGUGUAACAACCUUGUUCUAACGAACUGGGUAACCCGUGGAACUUCCUUCAUGAUUGGGAUAGGGGUUUGCAAUUGUGCCCCUUGAACGAGGAAUUCCCAGUAAACACUAGUCAUCAGCUAGUGCUGAUUACGUCCCUGCCCUUUGUACACACCGCCCGUCGCUACUACCGAUUGAAUGGUUUAGUGA